AACCUCGCUGUGUGUUACAAGUGUCACACAGGACCGCCGGCUUAAGCCGGAGGAAGUGGGGAUGACGUCAAGUCAGCAUGGCCUUUAUGUCCAGGGCUACACACACGCUACAAUGGUCAGCACAAUAGGUAGCCAAGCCGCGAGGUGGAGCCAAUCCUCAAAGCUGGCCUCAGUUCAGAUCGCAGGCUGCAACCCGCCUGCGUGAAGCCGGAGUUGCUAGUAACCGCAGGUCAGCUAUACUGCGGUGAAUACGUUCCCGGGGCUU
rnacentral:rRNA from 1 species